rnacentral:lncRNA from 1 species
ACUUUCGAAUCGAAACUAUGAAGAAAAGUGGUCAACAGUUUUGACAUUUCUAGUGAAAACAAUUUACACCUGCAAAAUUGCUUUAAAAUAAUCAAAAAUUAACCCCCAAUGUUUAGCUCUGGAUACAAAUCAGAUUUAAAGAACCACAGGGAAAUGAGCUGUGCUUUUGUUCAUCUUCAUCAUUGUCUUGCUUGUGUGAACAGGGUAAUGUUUUUCUUAUGAGCAGAGACAUGAAUUUGGGACAUAGCAAGAGAAAGGUAGCCUAAGGGAAAGAUUAGAGGAAAAGAGAAGAGCUGAGGGAUAUGCCUGGCUCCCUCUCAAAGGAAGAAGCACACACCUUCAUGUCACAAAUUUAGGCCAAAGGGGAAAAAUAGAUUGUCAUAAAGGGAAACGGGAAACAGGAUGUAAAGCAAGAAUGCUUUCCUUUUUCUCUCCGUUAUCCAACUAGGCUUAUAAAGUACAGAGGAGAGACCACUCUUCUAAGACAGAAAACCUGGGAUUUUUCAUGAUUAAUUUUGUGAUCUUGGCCAAGUCAACCUCCCUGAGACUGUUUCCUUAUAUUUGAAAUGAUGGUUGUGUGUUAGAUAAUUUCAAAUCAUGCAGGAGGACUGGGGAGAAUUAAAAUUAGCUAUAUCUCAAUUAUUCAAGUUACAUAGGAUAACUCCAGUAGUACUAAGGACUAUAGAUGUGAUAGAAGCUACGUUUAAUGCAGGACAAUCAGUUAAAUAAUUGUAAUCAUCCAGGUAAGAGAUAAUGAGGAGUUGAACAGUAGAAAUGGAACCAGCAGAUUUAAGAGUUAACUGAAAGAUAAAAGGAGCAGGUGACUGGUGAGGGGCAGCGUGGUACGGUGGUUAAGCUUGUGGGCCCUGGAGACUGAUGAACAGUCUCCAAAUCCCAACUCUGUCACAUACCA